rnacentral:rRNA from 1 species
UGGGGAAUAUUGCACAAUGGGCGCAAGCCUGAUGCAGCCAUGCCGCGUGUAUGAAGAAGGCCUUCGGGUUGUAAAGUACUUUCAGCGGGGAGGAAGGCGAUAAGGUUAAUAACCUCGUCGAUUGACGUUACCCGCAGAAGAAGCACCGGCUAACUCCGUGCCAGCAGCCGCGGUAAUACGGAGGGGGCAAGCGUUAAUCGGAAUUACUGGGCGUAAAGCGCACGCAGGCGGUCUGUCAAGUCGGAUGUGAAAUCCCCGGGCUCAACCUGGGAACUGCAUUCGAAACUGGCAGGCUAGAGUCUUGUAGAGGGGGGUAGAAUUCCAGGUGUAGCGGUGAAAUGCGUAGAGAUCUGGAGGAAUACCGGUGGCGAAGGCGGCCCCCUGGACAAAGACUGACGCUCAGGUGCGAAAGCGUGGGGAGCAAACA